CCUACGGGUGGCUGCAGUGGGGAAUAUUGCACAAUGGGCGCAAGCCUGAUGCAGCCAUGCCGCGUGUGUGAAGAAGGCCUUCGGGUUGUAAAGCACUUUCAGCGGGGAGGAAGGCGUUAAGGUUAAUAACCUUGUCGAUUGACGUUACCCGCAGAAGAAGCACCGGCUAACUCCGUGCCAGCAGCCGCGGUAAUACGGAGGGUGCAAGCGUUAAUCGGAAUUACUGGGCGUAAAGCGCACGCAGGCGGUCUGUCAAGUCGGAUGUGAGAUCCCCGGGCUCAACCUGGGAACUGCAUUCGAAACUGGCAGGCUAGAGUCUUGUAGAGGGGGGUAGAAUUCCAGGUGUAGCGGUGAAAUGCGUAGAGAUCUGGAGGAAUACCGGUGGCGAAGGCGGCCCCCUGGACAAAGACUGACGCUCAGGUGCGAAAGCGUGGGGAGCAAACAGGAUUAGAUACCCGUGUAGUC
rnacentral:rRNA from 1 species